AGUCCUCUAAGGCUCAAGAGCCUAAAGUUUUGUGUGGAGGAGUCCCAAUAAUGGAUGUGUACAAUGCAUUGGGGAAUUGCUCUGCUGAAGAUUUCAGGUGUCGAAGAACAUUCAGGGGGAGACCUUUGCCAAUAACGUUUUGCUCCAGGCCUUCAAUUCUUGGGAUAUAGCCUUGGCACUUGUAUCCUGCUUGCUGUUGUGCACAUCGUCGGAAAGCACCGUUCUAAAAAUUCAUCCAGCUCUGAAUCAUCUUGGCUGCAAACUGUACUUGCGAAGCCUACAUUGCAUGCUAGUGACUUGUGUGAUGUGUCAUUCCUGUUUUUUUUUCUUAGCACCUGAAUGUUUUGUGGUUUGGAGAGAAAUUUUAGUUGAAACAAGGAUCUUCUGAAGUCACAUGGUUGGAUAAGAAGUUUUAGGAGAACAGAUUUCACUUUUAUUUGUGUGUGUGUAAGAAAACCCCCCUCUUCCAUAGACAUAAUUUAUGGGAAAAUCCAGGACUUAAAAAAAAUACAUCUUUUCGAACCUAGUACCACACUGUGUAGAAGUGGCUUCCAUGCUGUGGGCGUGUGAAAUACACCUGGAUUUUGCUGAAAACAGACUCUUGUCUUUCCCCCCAACUAGUUGUGAAGCAUUGCUGGUGGUGACCAACACUUACCCUUGACUUUCUCCAUUUCCUCACUGGAAAAGCAUCUACCUUCUUGCCAGACUGUGGACAUAUUUUCUUGCUCUUUUGAAAAGUAGUAGAUUUUAACAAGGAAAAUUUGGUCAAGUAUAAAACUCCAAAGUUACUCCAAAGGAGAAGAACAUUCAG